CGCCUUGCCAGCCCGCUCAGAACUUAAAGGAAUUGACGGGGCCGCACAAGCGGUGGAGCAUGUGGUUUAAUUCGAUGAUACGCGAGGAACCUUACCUGGGCUCAAAUGUAUGUUGACGUAUUCUGAAAGGGAUACUUCUUCGGACAAUAUACAAGGUGCUGCAUGGUUGUCGUCAGCUCGUGCCGUGAGGUGUCGGGUUAAGUCCCAUAACGAGCGCAACCCCUAUCAUUAGUUGCCAUCAGGUCAAGCUGGGGACUCUAAUGAAAUUGCCUACGCAAGUAGUGAGGAAGGUGGGGAUGACGUCAAAUCAGCACGGCCCUUACGUCCAGGGCUACACACGUGCUACAAUGGCCGGUACAAAGGGCAGCUACCUGGUGACAGGAUGCUAAUCUCAAAAGCCGGUCUCAGUUCGGAUCGGAGUCUGCAACCCGACUCCGUGAAGCUGGAAUCGCUAGUAAUCGUGGAUCAGCCAAGCCGCGGUGAAUACGUUCCCGGGCCUU
rnacentral:rRNA from 1 species